rnacentral:rRNA from 1 species
AGAGUUUGAUCCUGGCUCAGGAUGAACGCUGGCGGCAUGCCUAAUACAUGCAAGUCGAACGAGAGACCUUCGGGUCUCUAGUGGCGAACGGGUGAGUAACACGUAGGGAACCUGCCCGCGCACCGGGAAUACGCUCUGGAAACGGAGAACAAAUCCCGAUGUACAGGAAGGAGGCAUCUUCUUUCUGUGAAACAUCCUUUCGGGGAUGGGGCGCGGAUGGACCUGCGGUGCAUUAGUUGGUUGGCGGGGUAAAGGCCCACCAAGACGAUGAUGCAUAGCCGGCCUGAGAGGGCGGACGGCCACAUUGGGACUGAGACACGGCCCAGACUCCUGCGGGAGGCAGCAGUAGGGAAUUUUCGUCAAUGGGCGCAAGCCUGAACGAGCGAUGCCGCGUGAGUGAAGAAGGCCUUCGGGUCGUAAAGCUCUGUUGCGGGGGAAAAAAGGCAGCAUCAGGAAAUGGGUGCUGACUGAUGGUGCCCCGCCAGAAAGUCACGGCUAACUACGUGCCAGCAGCCGCGGUAAUACGUAGGUGGCGAGCGUUAUCCGGAAUGAUUGGGCGUAAAGGGUGCGCAGGCGGUCCUGCAAGUCUGGAGUGAAACGCAUGAGCUCAACUCAUGCAUGGCUUUGGAAACUGGAGGACUGGAGAGCAGGAGAGGGCGGUGGAACUCCAUGUGUAGCGGUAAAAUGCGUAGAUAUAUGGAAGAACACCAGUGGCGAAGGCGGCCGCCUGGCCUGUUGCUGACGCUGAGGCACGAAAGCGUGGGGAGCAAAUAGGAUUAGAUACCCUAGUAGUCCACGCCGUAAACGAUGAGGACCAAGUGUUGGGGGUGAAACCUCAGUGCUGAAGUUAACGCAGUGAGUCCUCCGCCUGGGGAGUAUGCACGCAAGUGUGAAACUCAAAGGAAUUGACGGGGGCCCGCACAAGCGGUGGAGUAUGUGGUUUAAUUCGAAGCAACGCGAAGAACCUUACCAGGGCUUGACAUCCCGCUGACCGGCAUAGAGAUAUGCUUUUCUCUUCGGAGACAGCGGUGACAGGUGGUGCAUGGUUGUCGUCAGCUCGUGUCGUGAGAUGUUGGGUUAAGUC